rnacentral:lncRNA from 1 species
UCAGCACUGCGACACCACGCCUGCGAUACUAUACUUGCUCUAUGCUAGCAGCGGAACAACUCGUAGCAGCGGAAUACUUCUAGCAGCGGAACAACGACGAAGGUGGUGAACUCCACUCCGCAGGGACUCUGGCUGGGACACGAUCUAGCUCGCACGCACAGCAAGCUCGACAAGCAAUCAAGCAAUCAUGGCAUCACCUGCAAUCUGGCAUGACACGCCAGGUCAGUACAUUGAAUGUACUUGCAAGCUCACAACAACCAUAAACAUCAAGGCAAGACAAUAACAUAGCAUUAACAGGUUAAUUAAUUAACAACUACCAUGAUGAAGCAACUACUAAGCAUGAGAUGAAACUAAUACAGUGCUGAUAAAUCACCAUCUCAGAUCUCCAUAACCAUAUCUCUCUUGGCUAACCGGCCAAGCAAUAUACCAUCUCGAUCAACUCAUGAUCAAAACCACACGGUGAUCUUUCCGGCGAUCACUACCAUGACUAACACUUGGUCUCAAACUGUGAUCUUUCCGGCGAUCACAACCAUGACCAACACUUGGUCUCCAACAUCAUCAUCAUCAUCUGUGGUGUGGGUACAAUGUGCUCACAAUAUAUCAUCAUAUAAAUCACCUAUAAGUCAUUCCGUCAUGUGAGUGUUGAUCAAAUGGUGGGACCUAGUACGAACCCAUGCCCAUGACCGAGGACACGACUAUUGAUAGAUUAGUACACUCUGCAGAGGUAGCACAUUGUACCCACACCACAGAACCCAUUGCCUCGUACUCCCAUUCGGGUGGACCAAUGGCGUUCCGACAAAACCGAUCUACUGCCAUGACACUCUCCCAGCCACUCCGACCAACAUCCCUUCUGGGUUUAGUCCUGGGUGGCCCCGUGUCUAGCAAAGACACACCGACCACCAUCGUGGCCAAAACGUCCCUCACGGGGACCGGAUACAUAACAACAACAACGGGCACGCAAGGUUACGUCUGCUUACCGGGCCAGGGUACGCACGCCCAUAACCUUCCCUCGUUGGAGGCACCGGCGAGAGACAUGACAAUAGA